rnacentral:rRNA from 1 species
AGAGUUUGAUCCUGGCUCAGAACGUACGCUGGCGGCACGCCUAACGCAUGCAAGUCGAACGAAGUAGCAAUACUUAGUGGCAGACGGGUGAGUAACAUGUAGGUAUCUGCCCUUUGGCCUGGAAUAACACGAGGAAACUUGUGCUAAUACCGGAUAAGUCUUUACGGAGAAAGCUUUAUGCACCAUUGGAUGAGCCUGCACUUGAUUAGUUUGUUGGUGGGGUAAUGGCCUACCAAGACUGUGAUCAAUAGCUGAUUUGAGAGGAUGAUCAGCCACAUUGGGACUGAGACACGGCCCAAACUCCUACGGGAGGCAGCAGUGGGGAAUCUUGCACAAUGGAGGAAACUCUGAUGCAGCGAUGCCGCGUGAGUGAAGAAGGCCCUUGGGUUGUAAAGCUCUUUCGUCGGGGAAGAAAAUGACUGUACCCGAAUAAGAAGGUCCGGCUAACUUCGUGCCAGCAGCCGCGGUAAUACGAAGGGACCUAGCGUAGUUCGGAAUUACUGGGCUUAAAGAGUUCGUAGGUGGUUGAAAAAGUUGGUGGUGAAAUCCCAGAGCUUAACUCUGGAACUGCCAU